AUACUUACCUGGCAGGGGAGAUACCAUGAUCACGAAGGUGGCUUUUCCAUGGCGAGGUUUAUCCAUUGCACUCCAGAUGUGCUGACCCCUGAGAUUUCCCCAAAUUCAGGAAGCUCGACUGCAUAAUUUGUGGUAGUGGGGAACUGCGUUUGCCCUCUCCCCUG